rnacentral:lncRNA from 1 species
GUCUAGAUAGCUCUCUCUUCUUCCUCGCGCCGAGUCUGCCUAGAGCCUCUUUUGCUGUGUAUCCAGACAUGGGGAAGAAGAGGAAAAAGCCAGGAAAAGGCAAAGAGAAAGCAGCGAAAUCUGAGGAAAAAAGAGCUCACAGAGAGACUAGAAGCUCUCACCUGAGGAUGACAUCGAUGCCAUUUUGGUAAUUUCAUACUCGAACUCUGCAUAUAUAUCAUUUUGUGCUUGUUAAUUAGAGUUAUGGAUCAUUUGAGAACAGCUGAAAUAGUUUGUGGGAGUUUUAAACAGUGAUUGAAAAAUGGGGUUUUUCGCAAUCGUUGUCUCUGAUUUUUCGCAAUCGUUGUCUGUGAUUCCCAUAUGUAUUUUAUUUUGUGCUUGUUAAUUAGAGUUAUGGAUCAUUUGAGAACAACUGAAAUAGUUUGUGGGAGUUUUAAAUAGUGUUGGAAUCGUUGUCUGUGAUUCCCGCCCAAGAUUCCUGUUUUGUUUUUGUUUUGAAGAUUUUGCUCUCUAUUCUCUAUCUGAUAGUUUAUUUGCAC